rnacentral:misc_RNA from 1 species
AACACUGUUAACCUGCGGUACCUGCGGAGGGAUCAUUACACAAUAAUAUAUGAAGGCUGCUCGCGGCUGGAGUAUUUAUUACCCUUGUCUUUUGCGCACUUGUUGUUUCCUGGGCGGGCUCGCCCGCCACCAGGACCACAUACAAACCUUUUUUAUGUAGUUGCAGUCAGCGUCAGUAUAACAAAUGUAAAUCAUUUACAACUUUUAACAAUGGAUCU